CCCGCACGGAGCAUCCCGGGAUGGGGCAGCAGGGACAUGAGCAUCCCGGGCAGAAGAAUCCUCCCGACUUGGAGCAUCCCAGAGUGAGCUCUUCCCGGAGGGUCAGAGCCUGCACCCAGACCCCUGCCUGACCCAGGAAGAACGAGGGGCCCGGGCCCUGUCAGAACCCCCAGACCAGCAUCAUGCUUUGUCCCUGAUGGUCCAGGCAAGGUGAGAACAGCAGCUGAGCCCCCGCCAGGAGGGCAGGAUGCUGCUCUGCACAGCCUGGCUCCAGCUCAAGAUUUCCUUAAGGUUGAAUUAAAGUAGGGGGUGGGAGCUUUGCCUGCUCCCUCCCCAGGCAGGUGUAUGAGGCCUCAGGAUCCCCCAUCCCAGCCCCUGUGGUGAGAAAUCCCUCAUCCUGGAGCUUCCCUCGCAUCCCAAACUCCCAGGACACCUCAUGGGACAGCAGCUUGACACAAACGUUGCUAUUAAAAUAUUUACAAGUUCA